rnacentral:lncRNA from 1 species
CACAUGUAGACUAAGAAAAAAUACAUAGUAUCCCUUUGGAGUAGGAAUUAGGGUUUUCACAAAUCAACUUUCUCAUCUAUUAAUAUAUUUAUUCUUCUCUUUUUUCAUUUUUUAAGCCAAAGAGAUUAACAGACACUUUAAUUCCUGAAGAAUUUCAUAUUGUGUCAAAUAUAGGAGUUUCAGGUUUGGAGUGCUACGAUGACAAAUAUACUACUCUUCUCACGGAUAGUGAAAACAGGCUAUUGCUCUUCCCAUCCAUGAAACCUAAUAGAAGAGUGGAAGUGGUCCAACUGAGUGAAGUGAUGAACAUUAUGCUAGAGAGAGCUGGUGUAGAAAAUGAGGAAUAUGCAGUACCAACCAAGUUUAGCGACCCAUACUGAUCCUAUUAUAUUCAAAAGUUGAAGAGUGUAUAAAUGCCAAAUCUACUUAAAUCAAGAUCACAUCAUGAGGAAAUGUACACUAACUAAAGAAAUCUCCACAGCAGCAAAAGUGUUUUUCCUACCAUAACUGAUCCUCAACCCUCAGCACAAAAAUCAGUAGAAACAUGAGGGAAAAAAAAUCCAGCAAGAUGCUUGCAAAACUUCUUAACAGCCUAAAAGUUGAUCUCCUGGUUAAAAUGUUUGAAGAGAAUGAAGAAGUAACAAAUAAAUCCAUAAGCUUUUCAGCAACCCCUCAAAAAAAAUAAAAAUAAAAAAACCCGGAUGAAAGAAAGAGAAAUAGUGAAAAAAAAAUUUAAACAAUGAAUUAAAAAAAACAACUCCUUUGUUUUGAAUGAUUGGUUUCUUUCCAGCA